CUCGGCCUCAGAUCAGACAAGGCUACCCGCUGAAUUUAAGCAUAUUAAUAAGCGGAGGAAAAGAAACUAACAAGGAUUCCCCCAGUAACGGCGAGUGAAGCGGGAUGAGCUCAAAUUUAAAAUCUCCGUUGCUUGCAACGGCGAAUUGUAGUUUCGAGAAGCGCUUUCUAGGCGGACCGGCUGCGCCUAAGUUGCUUGGAACAGCACGUCAUAGAGGGUGACAACCCCGUCUGUGGCGUAGGCGGCCGCUCACGAUGUGCUUUCGAAGAGUCGGGUUGUUUGGGAAUGCAGCCCAAAAUGGGUGGUAAACUCCAUCUAAAGCUAAAUAUUGGCACGAGACCGAUAGCGAACAAGUACCGUGAGGGAAAGAUGAAAAGGACUUUGGAAAGAGAGUUAAAAAGUACGUGAAACCGUUAAAAGGGAAACGAAUGGAGCUAGCAAUGCACCCCGUGAGAUUCAGCUGGUUGGUGGCUCGGCCGCRAUGUUUGCAGAUCUGAAUUGACUGCGGCUUUGUGGUUCGAACUCCCUGCCAUCGCACUUCUCGCGGGCGCGCGUCAACAUGGGUUGGGACCGGGUCUAAAAGGCACCGGCAAGGUAGGUCCGCACCUCCGGGUACGUACUGUUCUAGGCCGGCGCUCUAGCGGCCCGKGCCCGACCGAGGCGAUGCAGCACAUGCCUCUUGUGGCUGGGGUCCCGUUCUUCCGGUUGGUUGUCGACUGUGGUGGACUGCGUGCAGUGCACCGCGACUGCUGCCGGUCGCUUGGGCGGUGACUUCGCAUGAUGUGCUUAGGAUGUUGGCGGUCAUAUGGCUUCAUCCGACCCGUCUUGAAACACGGACCAAGGAGUCUACCAUAUGCGCGAGUCUUUGGGUGAUUGAAACCCGCGGGCACAAUGAAAGUGAAGGCGGCUCCGGCCUGCCGAGGUGAGAACCUCCCCUCUCGGGGUGGCGCAUCAUCGACCGACCUAUUCUACUCUUAGGAAGGUUUGAGUAAGAGCGCAUUUGAUGGGACCCGAAAGAUGGUGAACUAUGCCUGAAUAGGGUGAAGCCAGAGGAAACUCUGGUGGAGGCUCGUAGCGAUUCUGACGUGCAAAUCGAUCGUCAAAUUUGGGUAUAGGGGCGAAAGACUAAUCGAACUGUCUAGUAGCUGGUUCCCUCCGAAGUUUCCCUCAGGAUAGCAGGAGCUCUGUGCAGUUUUAUCAGGUAAAGCGAAUGAUUAGAGGUCUUAGGGUUAAAACAACCUUAACCUAUUCUCAAACUUUAAAUUGGUAAGAAGUCCGACUUGCUCGAUUGAAGCCGGACGUGGAAUGCGAGUUCCUAGUGGGCCAUUUUUGGUAAGCAGAACUGGCGAUGCGGGAUGAACCGAACGCCGAGUUAAGGUGCCAAAGUCGACGCUCAUCAGACCCCACAAAAGGUGUUGGUUGCUAUAGACAGCAGGACGGUGGCCAUGGAAGUCGGAAUCCGCUAAGGAGUGUGUAACAACUCACCUGCCGAAGCAACUAGCCCUGAAAAUGGAUGGCGCUCAAGCGUCGCACCUAUACUCGGCCGUCGGGGCAAACGCGAAGCCCCGACGAGUAGGAGGGCGUGGGGGUCGUGACGCAGCCUUUGGCGUGAGCCUGGGUGAAACGGCCUCUAGUGCAGAUCUUGGUGGUAGUAGCAAAUAUUCAAAUGAGAGCUUUGAAGACCGAAGUGGAGAAAGGUUCCAUGUGAACAGCAGUUGGACAUGGGUUAGUCGAUCCUAAGAGAUAGGGAAACUCCGUUUGAAAGUGCCCAAUUGCGGGCCGCCUAUCGAAAGGGAAUCGGGUUAAUAUUCCCGAACCGGAACACGGAUAUCGC
rnacentral:rRNA from 1 species